GUAGGUGGCAAGCGUUGUCCGGAAUUAUUGGGCGUAAAGCGCGCGCAGGCGGUCCUUUAAGUCUGAUGUGAAAGCCCACGGCUCAACCGUGGAGGGUCAUUGGAAACUGGGGGACUUGAGUACAGAAGAGGAAAGCGGAAUUCCAAGCGUAGCGGUGAAAUGCGUAGAGAUUUGGAGGAACACCAGUGGCGAAGGCGGCUUUCUGGUCUGUAACUGACGCUGAGGCGCGAAAGCGUGGGGAGCAAACAGGGAUUGGAUACCCUGGUAGUCCACGCCGUAAACGAUGAGUGCUAAGUGUUAGGGGGUUUCCCGCCCCCUUAGUGCUGCAGCUAACGCAUUAAGCACUCCGCCUGGGGAGUACGGCCGCAAGGCUG
rnacentral:rRNA from 1 species